CAGUCGCCACGGUAAUACGGAGGGUGCAAGCGUUAAUCGGAAUUACUGGGCGUAAAGCGCACGCAGGCGGUCUGUUAAGUCAGAUGUGAAAUCCCCGGGCUCAACCCGGGAACUGCAUUUGAAACUGGCAGGCUUGAGUCUUGUAGAGGGGGGUAGAAUUCCAGGUGUAGCGGUGAAAUGCGUAGAGAUCUGGAGGAAUACCGGUGGCGAAGGCGGCCCCCUGGACAAAGACUGACGCUCAGGUGCGAAAGCGUGGGGAGCAAACAGGAUUAGAGACCCCAGUAGUCCCUGUCUCUUAUAC
rnacentral:rRNA from 1 species